GAUGAACGCUGGCGGCGUGCCUAAUACAUGCAAGUCGAACGGGGAGUAGCAAUACUCUUAGUGGCGAACGGGUGAGUAACGCGUUGGUACCUGCCCCGAAGCGGGGGAUAACGGACCGAAAGGUCCGCUAAUACCCCAUGUGCUCGGUAACGAGUAAAGGUGAAAACCACUUUGGGAGGGGCCUGCGUCCCAUCAGCUAGUUGGUAAGGUAACGGCUUACCAAGGCGAUGACGGGUAGGGGACCUGAGAGGGUGGCCCCCCACAAUGGAACUGAAACACGGUCCAUACACCUACGGGUGGCAGCAGUAGGGAAUAUUGGUAAUGGGCGCAAGCCUGAACCAGCAACGCCGCGUGUGCGAUGACGGCCUUCGGGUUGUAAAGCACUUUUGACUGGGACGAGGAAGGACGGCACCGGUCGAAUCAGCCUCGGCUAACUACGUG
rnacentral:rRNA from 1 species